GGUAGAGAGGAGCUUGCUUCUCUUGAGAGCGGCGGACGGGUGAGUAAUGCCUAGGAAUCUGCCUGGUAGUGGGGGAUAACGUUCGGAAACGGACGCUAAUACCGCAUACGUCCUACGGGAGAAAGCAGGGGACCUUCGGGCCUUGCGCUAUCAGAUGAGCCUAGGUCGGAUUAGCUAGUUGGUGAGGUAAUGGCUCACCAAGGCGACGAUCCGUAACUGGUCUGAGAGGAUGAUCAGUCACACUGGAACUGAGACACGGUCCAGACUCCUACGGGAGGCAGCAGUGGGGAAUAUUGGACAAUGGGCGAAAGCCUGAUCCAGCCAUGCCGCGUGUGUGAAGAAGGUCUUCGGAUUGUAAAGCACUUUAAGUUGGGAGGAAGGGCAGUUGCCUAAUACGUAACUGUUUUGACGUUACCGACAGAAUAAGCACCGGCUAACUCUGUGCCAGCAGCCGCGGUAAUACAGAGGGUGCAAGCGUUAAUCGGAAUUACUGGGCGUAAAGCGCGCGUAGGUGGUUUGUUAAGUUGGAUGUGAAAUCCCCGGGCUCAACCUGGGAACUGCAUUCAAAACUGACUGACUAGAGUAUGGUAGAGGGUGGUGGAAUUUCCUGUGUAGCGGUGAAAUGCGUAGAUAUAGGAAGGAACACCAGUGGCGAAAGCGACCACCUGGACUGAUACUGACACUGAG
rnacentral:rRNA from 1 species